rnacentral:rRNA from 1 species
GACAGAGGCCUCGAGCGUUAGGCGGAAUCACUGGGCCUAAAGCGUGUGUAGGCGGAUCGUUAAGUACCUUGUGAAAUCCCACGGCUCAACCGUGGAACGGCUGGGUAUACUGGCGGUCUUGGGCCAUUCAGGGGCGACUGGAACAAGCGGUGGAGCGGUGAAAUGCGUAGAUAUCGCUUGGAACGCCGAAGGUGAAAACAGGUCGCUGGGGAUGUGCCGACGCUGAGACACGAAAGCCAGGGGAGCAAACGGG